ACGGGAGGCAGCAGUGGGGAAUAUUGGACAAUGGGGGAAACCCUGAUCCAGCGACGCCGCGUGAGUGAAGAAGUAUUUCGGUAUGUAAAGCUCUACCAGCAGGGAAGAUGAUGACGGUACCUGACUAAGAAGCCCCGGCUAACUACGUGCCAGCAGCCGCGGUAAUACGUAGGGGGGCAAGCGUUAUCCGGAUUUACUGGGUGUAAAGGGAGUGUAGGCGGCUGCGCAAGUCAGAAGUGAAAGCCCGGGGCUUAACCCCGGGACUGCUUUUGAAACUGCGUAGCUCGAGUGCAGGAGAGGUAAGCGGAAUUCCUAGUGUAGCGGUGAAAUGCGUAGAUAUUAGGAAGAACACCGGUGGCGAAGGCGGCUUACUGGACUGAGACUGACGCUGAGGCUCGAAAGCGUGGGGAGCAAACAGGAUUAGAUACCCUGGUA
rnacentral:rRNA from 1 species